rnacentral:lncRNA from 1 species
GCUAGAGACCAUGUUGCGGAGCCUUCGGUGGGCAAGCGGUCAUUUGAUUGAUGAAGAGAUGGCCAGCAAUCUAAUUGCUGUUGCAGAGAAGUUCCUACAACAGGCAAAUGACAUCCAACAACGGGAACCUUACGAAGAUGUAUCCUAACAAAUACCUUUGGAGGGAAGGCUGUAUCACAUCAAGGAGCAGCUUGAGUUCCUCAUAGAUUGUCAUGACCAUCAGACAAAUGGCAGAUGUUCUCAAUGUGUCGCACUCUGUGGUCAAGCGGCGCAUGAGGUAAGUUAUCGUAAUUGAAUAAAGCAAUUGCAACACGAGGGAGAUCUCUAGAUUUGAUCACAUUCCUGAUUGAUGUAUCUUUUUGUGUUAUUUUUGUUUUUAGUCAUUUUCAGCUUUUCAGGUCCUACUCACUGUUGUCAGACGCUCAGCUGGAUGAGAGGAUCAGAGAGCUGAUAUCAAUGAAAACAGAAUGGCGUCACUAUAAGAAACAAAUGUAUCUUGUUUUUUAGGUUGAGGAUUGUUAUCCAUGGUGCUGUGGAUGGUUACAGCAGACGUGUUGUGUUUCUGAAGGCCUCUGACAACAACAGGAUUGCCACAGUCAUGGAGUCAUUCGAAGCAGCAAUCACCAGCUACGGAGUACCAUUCCGGUACAACACUACCCAGGAGAGGCCUACUGCAAGCACUGGAUUGGAGCCUUCAGAGCGUGCCUGCUGUGGGAAGACAACAAAACAACCGAAUGGACAUUAAAACAACUUAACAUUUUUGUAAUGCCCAAAUGGGACUUUUAUAAAUUGUUAAAAUAAAUCAGUGUUGAGAACGCCCUUUAGUUUAAAAAAUAAACGAUGAAGAUAGUGGUUCGCCCCGUUACAUUUUAUAUAAUUGUGAUUAACAGCAACCUAUUACAGUUAGUAACAUAACAUUGUUGACACAUUGUGACAGCUCAAAUGACGUGGUUGAAGAUGGACUAGUGCAGGGCUCCUAACCUUGUUCCUGGAGAGCUACUGUCUUGUAGGUUCACUCCGACCCUAAUCUAGUGCACCUGAUUUUAAUAAUUACCUGCUUAAUAAGUUAAUGAGGGUAGCUCUCCUGGAACAGGGUUGGAUUGAAAACCUACAGGAGGGUAGCUCUCCAGGAACAGGGUUGGAGAGCCCUGAUGUAAACCUACAGUAGCUCUCCAGGAACAGGGUUGGAUUGAAAACCUACAGGAGGGUAGCUCUCCAGGUACAGGGUUGGAGAGCCUAGGACUAAUGGAUCUAGUUCUUGGAUCAAUGCAUUUGAAAUUCGAUAAGUCACUACGAAGGUGCAGUUCCCAGAAGUGGAGCUGUCACUUAAUGCAGUGGAUGGGAAGCCUUAUUUCAUGUAGUUCUAAUUAAAUGAUAAUGGCUGAAGUUAAUUUGUUCUUAAUGAAGGACAUCAAAUGAUCAGAUUUGGAUGAGUUGGCUGCAAUAUGGCAGCAGUACUUCAGUCAACAUCAGCAAAGGAUAUUGGUUAUUAGUGAAGUGUCAGUAAAGUGUUUUUUUAAAAACUAGAUCUUUUUGAAGAAGGCUGUAACGUAAUAAAAUGUGGAAAAAGUCAAGGGGUCUGAAUACAUUCCGAAUGCACUGUACAAACAAAACAGAUGUAAGUAGAUAAAUGCUUAAAUGUUGAU